AUACGUAGGGAGCGAGCGUUGUCCGGAAUUACUGGGUGUAAAGGGAGCGUAGGCGGGAGUGCAAGUCAGAUGUGAAAUACAUGGGCUCAACCCAUGGGCUGAAUUUGAAACUGCAUUUCUUGAGUGCAGUAGAGGCAAGUGGAAUUUCUAGUGUAGCGGUUAAAGGGGUAGAUAUUAGAAGGAACACCAGUGGCGAAGGCGGCUUGCUGGGCUGUUACUGACGCUGAGACACGAAAGCGUGGGGAGCAAAUAGGAUUAGAUACCCUAGUGGUCCACGCCGUAAACGAUGAGUACUAAGUGUCGGGUAACCGGUGCUGAAGUUAACACAUUAAGUUCUCCGCCUGAGUAGUACGGUCGCAAGGCUGAAACUCAAAUGAAUUGACGGGG
rnacentral:rRNA from 1 species